CUCCUUUCUCUCCCCCACACGUUUCUCUCUCUCUCUCUCUCUCUCCUCUUUUUUCUUCUUCUUCUUCAUCACGGAAAUGAAACUCAAAACCUUGGUUUUGAUCUUAAAACCUUAGUUUUGAUCUAGUUCAAGAGGGAUUUUGGCUUCAUGCUAGUUACAAAAGUUAGAAAGCUUGCUAAGAGCUACAAGAUGAUAUAAUCUAUUUGAGGAUUGGAGCACAUUGGAGUUUCGGGUCUAGUCUAGGGCUUAGAUUUUGGGGCAGCUUCAAGAGGAAACGUUGUUCCCCUCUUCUUUCUCUUUAAACUUGGUGGUGUUAGUUUUCAUUUUGGCGGAGUUUCAUCUUGGAGCAAGGCUAAGGAUUGGCUUGGAUUUGAGGGACAUAUAUAGAAGCGCCACCACCCCCCCCCCCCCCCCCUCCCCCCCCCUCCGAAGUUUAGACUUAAAGUUGCUAUCCUUUGACCCCAUUUUGUGACAUGCCUAAUGUAGGAGGAAGACCAUAUCAUCAAUGUUAACUACUUUGUAUUUUGAUGUAUCGACAUUAUUAUUGUUGUCGUAUAGUCUCAACCAUGUAAAUAUAUUCUUUUGUUAAACAUGUGUACCUUAAGCAUGGAUGUAAUGAAUUUCUCAUUAUUUUGCACAUGUAA